rnacentral:rRNA from 1 species
CCUGAAUGAUCCUGCCAGUAGCAUAUGCAUGUCUCAAAGAUUAAGCCAUGCACAUUUAAGUACACACGACCGUACAGUGAAACGGCAAAUGGUUCAUUAAAUCAGUUACGGCUUCUUUGAUCGCUCCAUCUGUUACUUGGAUAAUUGUGGUAAUUCUAGAACUAAUGCAUGCCAACGAGCGCAGACCUCCCGGGAUGCAUGCAUUUAUCAGACCAAGACCAAUCUGGUCUCGCCCGGCCAUUUUGGUGACUCUAGAUAACCUCGGGCCGAUCGCACGUCCUGUGACGGCGACUAUGCAUUCGGAUGUCUGGUCUCUCCACUUUCGAUUGUGCUUUCUGUGCCUACCAUGGUGACCACGGGUAAGGGGAAUCGGGGGUUCAAUUCCGGAGAAGGGAGCCUGCGAAACGACUACCACAUCAAAGGAAGGCAGCAGGCGCCCAAAUUACCUACUCCGACUCUGCGAGGUAGUGACGAAAAAUAACAAUACAGGACUCUUUCGAGGCACUGUAUUUGGAAUGAGUACACUUUAAAUCCUUUAACAAGUACCCAUUGGAGGGUAAGUCUGGUGCCAGCAGCCGUGGUAAUUCCAGCUCCAUUAGCAUAUAUUAUAGUUGCUGCAAUUAAAAGGCUCGUAGUUGGCUCUUGGGAUCGAGCUGGCGGCCCUCCGCGAGGCGAGCUAUCGCCUGUCCCAGCUCCUGACUGUUGGCUCCCCCUUGAUGCUCUUGACUGGGUGUCCGGGGGGUCUGAAGCAUUUACUUAGAAAAAAGUAGUAUUCAAAGUAGGCCGGUCGCCUGAAUACUUCAGCUAGGAAUAAUGGAAUAGGACUCUGGUUCUAUCUUGUUUUUCGGAAACUGGGGCCAUGAUUAAGAGGGACGGACGGGGGCAUUCAUAUUGUGCAGAUAGAGGUGAAAUUCUUGGACCGGCGCAAGACGAACCAAAGUGAAAGCAUUAGCCAAUAAUGUUUUCAUUAAUCAAGAACGAACAUCUGAGGUUUGAAGAUGAUCUAAUACUGUCGUAGUUCCGACCAUAAACGAUGCUGAUUAGCGAUCUGGUGGCGUUAUUCCCAUGACCUGCCAAGCCGCUUCCAGGAAACUAAAGUCUUUGGAUUCUGGGGGGGGCGGUAUGGUUGCAAAGCGAAAAGUUAAAGGAAUUGACGGAAGGGCACUACCAGGAGUGGAGCCUGCAGCUUAAUUUGACUCAACACGGGAAUCCUCGCCCGGCCAGACACGGUAAAGAUUGACAGAUUGAUAGCUCUUUCUCGAUUCUGUCAGUGGUGGUGCAUGGCCGUUAGUUGGUGGAGCGAUUUGUCUGGUUAAUUCCGAUAACGAACGAGACUCCUCCAUGCUAAAUAAAUAUUUCCCAUGAACGAGGAAUACCCAUUAAGUGAGGGUCAUAAGCUUGCGUUGAUUAAGUCCCUACCCUUUGUACACACCGCCCGUCGCUACUACUGAUUGGAUGGUUUAGUGAGGUCCUCGGAUCAGCCCCGCCUGCAACGUCCCUGGCGGAGCGGCGUGAAGACUAUCAAACUUGACUAGAGGAAGUAAAAGUCGCAUGGGUCGGGUUAACCUGCAGGGGACAUCCCC